GAUGAACGCUGGCGGCGUGCCUAAUACAUGCAAGUCGAGCGAACGGACGAGACGCUUGCUUCUCUGAUGUUAGCGGCGGACGGGUGAGUAACACGUGGAUAACCUACCUAUAAGACUGGGAUAACUUCGGGAAACCGUCGCUAAUACCGGAUAAUAUUUUGAACCGCAUGGUUCAAAAGUGAAAGACGGUCUUGCUGUCACUUAUAGAUGGAUCCGCGCUGCAUUAGCUAGUUGGUACGGUAACGGCUUACCAAGGCAACGAUGCAUAGCCGACCUGUGAGGGUGAUCGGCCACACUGGAACUGAGACACGGUCCAGACUCCUACGGGAGGCAGCAGUAGGGAAUCUGCCGCAAUGGGCGAAAGCCUGACGGAGCAACGGCGCGUGAGUGAUGAAGGUCUUCGGAGCGUAAAACUCUGUUAUUAGUGAAGAACAUAUGUGUAAGGAACUGUGCACAGCUUGACGGUACCUAAUCAGAAAGCCACGGCUAACUACGUG
rnacentral:rRNA from 1 species